rnacentral:rRNA from 1 species
UACGGGGGGGGCGAGCGUUGUUCGGAAUCACUGGGCGUAAAGGGUGCGUAGGCGGGUCUUUUAAGUCAGGGGUGAAAUCCUGGAGCUCAACUCCAGAACUGCCUUUGAUACUGAAGAUCUUGAGUUCGGGAGAGGUGAGUGGAACUGCGAGUGUAGAGGUGAAAUUCGUAGAUAUUCGCAAGAACACCAGUGGCGAAGGCGGCUCACUGGCCCGGUACUGACGCUGAGGUGCGAAAGCGUGGGGAGCAAACAGG